ACUCCUACGGGAGGCAGCAGUGGGGAAUAUUGCACAAUGGGCGCAAGCCUGAUGCAGCCAUGCCGCGUGUGUGAAGAAGGCCUUCGGGUUGUAAAGCACUUUCAGUCGUGAGGAAGGUAGUGUAGUUAAUAGCUGCAUUAUUUGACGUUAGCGACAGAAGAAGCACCGGCUAACUCCGUGCCAGCAGCCGCGGUAAUAC
rnacentral:rRNA from 2 species